rnacentral:misc_RNA from 1 species
CAGAGUUGCAAAACUCCCAACCAUUGUGAACCUACCUCACCGUUGCUUCGGCGGGUGGCCCGGGGCAACCCAGGCCGCGCCGGCUCCUCUUCAGGGGGCCUGGCACACCCGUCAGAGGACCGAAACUCUUCGUCAUCAGUGGCCUCUCUGAGUAACUUAUACAAUAAGUCA